rnacentral:rRNA from 1 species
CGUGUAGGCGGGUCUUUAAGUCAGGGGUGAAAUGCCAGGGCUCAACCUUGGAACUGCCUUUGAUACUGGAGAUCUUGAGUCCGGGAGAGGUGAGUGGAACUGCGAGUGUAGAGGUGAAAUUCGUAGAUAUUCGCAAGAACACCAGUGGCGAAGGCGGCUCACUGGCCCGGUACUGACGCUGAGAUGCGAAAGCGUGGGGAGCAAACAGGAUUAGAUACCCUGGUAGUCCACGCUGUAAACGAUGGAUGCUAGCCGUUAGGCAGCUUGCUGCUUAGUGGCGCAGUUAACACUUUAAGCAUCCCGCCUGGGGAGUACGGUCGCAAGAUUAAA